CAUACUUUGCAUUCACAUUUGUAUAUUUACUUUUACAUUCUUUUCAUCAUCUCUUUUUACAUCAUAACUUCUCCCAAAAUGGAUUUCUUACAUUCAAAUUUAACUCUCUUUAUACAAUUGCAUCUUCAAAGACAAAAGAAGAUACAUAUAUCCAUAAGGGUAUACAACUAUACAAGUAAUAAAACCGACUCGGAUGGUCACUGUCUACGGCGCGAUACCCUUACAGCGAUCGUCCGCCGGCUCGCUCGGUCCCGGCCCUG
rnacentral:lncRNA from 1 species